GGAAUUCGAUUAACGCGAAGAACCUUACCUGGGCUAGACAACGGCGGACCGUCCUAGAAAUAGGAUUUUCCCUUCGGGGACUGCCGGUUCAGGUGCUGCAUGGCUGUCGUCAGCUCGUGCCGUGAGGUGUUGGGUUAAGUCCCGCAACGAGCGCAACCCUCGUCCUUAGUUGCCACCAUUCAGUUGGGCACUCUAGGGAGACUGCCGGCGUUAAGCCGGAGGAAGGUGGGGACGACGUCAAGUCAUCAUGGCCCUUAUGUCCAGGGCCACACACGUGCUACAAUGGGCGGUACAAAGGGUUGCAAACCCGCGAGGGGGAGCUAAUCCCAAAAAGCCGCUCUCAGUUCGGAUUGGAGUCUGCAACUCGACUCCAUGAAGUUGGAAUCGCUAGUAAUCGCGGAUCAGCACGCCGCGGUGAAUACGUUCCCGGGCCUUGUCACACCGAAUCACUA
rnacentral:rRNA from 1 species